rnacentral:misc_RNA from 1 species
GAUGAAGAACGUAGCGAAAUGCGAUAAGUAAUGCGAAUUGCAGAAUUUCCGUGAGUCAUCGAAUCUUUGAACGCACAUUGCGCCCGCCAGCAUUCUGGUGGGCAUGCCUGUUCGAGCGUCAUUUCAACCCUCGAGCCCCCCCGGGGGCCUCGGUGUUGGGGGACGGCACACCAGCCGCCCCCGAAAUGCAGUGGCGACCCCGCCGCAGCCUCCCCUGCGUAGUAGCACACACCUCGCACCGGAGCGCGGAGGCGGUCACGCCGUAAAACGCCCAACUUUCUUAGAGUUGACCUCGGAUCAGGUAGGAAUACCCGCUGAACUUAAGCAUAUCAAUAAGCGGAGGA